rnacentral:rRNA from 1 species
ACGGGAGCUUGCUCCCUUAGGUCAGCGGCGGACGGGUGAGUAACACGUGGGUAACCUGCCUGUAAGACUGGGAUAACUCCGGGAAACCGGGGCUAAUACCGGAUGCUUGAUUGAACCGCAUGGUUCAAUCAUAAAAGGUGGCUUUUAGCUACCACUUACAGAUGGACCCGCGGCGCAUUAGCUAGUUGGUGAGGUAACGGCUCACCAAGGCGACGAUGCGUAGCCGACCUGAGAGGGUGAUCGGCCACACUGGGACUGAGACACGGCCCAGACUCCUACGGGAGGCAGCAGUAGGGAAUCUUCCGCAAUGGACGAAAGUCUGACGGAGCAACGCCGCGUGAGUGAUGAAGGUUUUCGGAUCGUAAAACUCUGUUGUUAGGGAAGAACAAGUACCGUUCGAAUAGGGCGGCACCUUGACGGUACCUAACCAGAAAGCCACGGCUAACUACGUGCCAGCAGCCGCGGUAAUACGUAGGUGGCAAGCGUUGUCCGGAAUUAUUGGGCGUAAAGCGCGCGCAGGCGGUUUCUUAAGUCUGAUGUGAAAGCCCCCGGCUCAACCGGGGAGGGUCAUUGGAAACUGGGGAACUUGAGUGCAGAAGAGGAGAGUGGAAUUCCACGUGUAGCGGUGAAAUGCGUAGAGAUGUGGAGGAACACCAGUGGCGAAAGCGACUCUCUGGUCUGCAACUGACGCUGAGGCGCGAAAGCGUGGGGAGCGAACAGGAUUAGAUACCCUGGUAGUCCACGCCGUAACGAUGAGUGCU